rnacentral:rRNA from 1 species
AUUGAACGCUGGCGGCAGGCCUAACACAUGCAAGUCGAACGAGUGGCGGACGGGUGAGUAAUGUCUGGGAAACUGCCCGAUGGAGGGGGAUAACUACUGGAAACGGUAGCUAAUACCGCAUACCAUCGGAUGUGCCCAGAUGGGAUUAGCUUGUAGGUGAGGUAACGGCUCACCUAGGCGACGAUCCCUAUCUGGUCUGAGAGGAUGACCAGCCAAACGGGAACGGAGAAACGGGCCAGAAGCCGACGGGAGGCAGCAGUGGGGAAUAUUGAACAAUGGGCGAAAGCCUGAUGCAGCCAUGCCGCGUGUAUGAAGAAGGCCUUAGGGUUGUAAAGUACUGUCAGCGGGGAGGCGUUACAAGCAGAAGAAGCACCGGCUAACGCCGUGCCAGCAGCCGCGGUAAUUC